rnacentral:rRNA from 1 species
CUUUUAACAACGGAUCUCUUGGUUCUGGCAUCGAUGAAGAACGCAGCGAAAUGCGAUAAGUAAUGUGAAUUGCAGAAUUCAGUGAAUCAUCGAAUCUUUGAACGCACAUUGCGCCCCCUGGUAUUCCGGGGGGCAUGCCUGUUCGAGCGUCAUUUCAC